rnacentral:rRNA from 1 species
UACGGGGGGAGCAAGCGUUGUUCGGAUUUACUGGGCGUAAAGGGCGCGUAGGCGGUCAGCACAAGUCAGUUGUGAAAUCUCCGGGCUUAACCCGGAGCGGCCAAGUGAUACUGUCGUGCUAGAGUGCGGAAGGGGCUACUGGAAUUCUCUGUGUAGCGGUGAAAUGCGUAGAUAUCGAGAGGAACACCUGCGGCGAAGGCGGGUAGCUGGGCCGACACUGACGCUGAUGCGCGAAAGCCAGGGGAGCGAACGGG